AGAAAAAACAGCACAUACUGAUCAUGAAAUCCACUCACCAAAAGAUUUUAGUUUGAGAUACCUGAGACGGUUAUUGGAAGUGUCUGCUUUUAUGGGAAGAAGCUAAACAAAUGUCUGGACCUGUACGUUUCUGAUGGGAGAAAUAAACUUUCCAAGGUCUUGUAUCCAUUUUCCUUCUCCUUUUGAACUGGGCCUUCUCAUCAUUUUGAGGUGGUGAGGGCCAUCAACACCAUCCUGCUGCACAGGCUCAUCCUCCUGGGUGAUGUGGACACCAUUGUCACUGGCUUUGCCGCCAGGGACUUCUGCAACUGUGUGUGGGGGGGAUUGGCUGCAUCCACAUCCCCAUCUGGGCCUCAGACCACCGGGCAGCCGACUACAUCAACCAGAAGGGGUACUUUCCCCAUGGUCCCACAGGCUGUUGAGCACCACCAUGGCUGCUUCACGUUAAUUAAUGUCAGGUGAUUGGGGAAGGUGCCCGCAUCUUUAGGUAAUCCAGCCUCUACCAGAUGAUGAAUGCUGGCACUUUUUUCCAUGACCGCACCAUCAGGGUCAGGGAUAUGGACAUGCCCAUGUGCAUUGGGGGAAGCCUACCCUCUGCUGUCCUGGCUUACAAAGCCCUACACUGGACCCCUCUCUGGAACAGUUUAAUGCCAGGCUCAGCAGGGCCUGCACUGUGGUGGAGGAUGCCUUUGGGCAUCUCAAAGGGAGAUUCCUCUGCCUCCUCACCUGCCUGGACCUCGGCAAGCAGAACAUCCCCCAAGUAGUGGUGGGAUGCUGUGUCCUUCACAAUAUUUGUGAGGAAAAGGGGGAGAUGUUCCUGCCAGGUUGUGGGGCAGAGGCUGAGUGGCUUACCAGGGCUUUUGAGCAGCCGUGUACAGCUGCCAUUCAGCAAGGCCAUCAGGGGGCUGUGCGCAUCUGGGAGGACCUGAGGGAGAGUUUCAGACAAGGACAUCUGUGAGACUCUCCCCUGGGCCUCCCCACAAGGGGCCUCUGCAGGGCCCCGCUGUGCCUUUCCUCCUUCACCUCUCCCU